rnacentral:rRNA from 1 species
AUACGAAGGGGGCUAGCGUUGCUCGGAAUUACUGGGCGUAAAGGGAGCGUAGGCGGAUAGUUCAGUCAGAGGUGAAAGCCCAGGGCUCAACCUUGGAAUUGCCUUUGAUACUGGCUGUCUUGAGUAUGGGAGAGGUUAGCGGAACUCCGAGUGUAGAGGUGAAAUUCGUAGAUAUUCGGAAGAACACCAGUGGCGAAGGCGGCUAACUGGCCCAUUACAGACGCGGAGGCUCGAAAGCGUGGGGAGCAAACAGGAUUAGAUACCCUGGUUGUCCACGCCGUAAACGAUGAGUGCUAGUUGUCGACAUGCAUGCAUGUCGGUGACGCAGCUAACGCAUUAAGCACUCCGCCUGGGGAGUACGGUCGCAAGAUUAAAACUCAAAUGAAUUGACGGGG